AUUAUACCGUGAAACUGCGAAUGGCUCAUUAAAUCAGUUAUCGUUUAUUUGAUAGUACCUUACUACUUGGAUACCCGUGGUAAUUCUAGAGCUAAUACAUGCUAAAAACCCCGACUUCGGGAGGGGUGUGUUUAUUAGAUAAAAAACCAACGCCCUUCGGGGCUCCUUGGUGAUUCAUGAUAACCUCUCAGAUCGCACGGCCUUGCGCCGGCGACGGUUCAUUCAAAUUUCUGCCCUAUCAACUUUCGAUGGUAAGGUAUUGGCUUACCAUGGUUUCAACGGGUAACGGGGAAUUAGGGUUCGAUUCCGGAGAGUGAGCCUGAGAAACGGCUCACACAUCCAAGGAAGGCAGCAGGCGCGCAAAUUACCCAAUCCCGACACGGGGAGGUAGUGACAAUAAAUACUGAUACAGGGCUCUUUUGGGUCUUGUAAUUGGAAUGAGUACAAUUUAAACCUCUUAACGAGGAACAAUUGGAGGGCAAGUCUGGUGCCAGCAGCCGCGGUAAUUCCAGCUCCAAUAGCGUAUAUUAAAGUUGUUGCAGUUAAAAAGCUCGUAGUUGAAUCUUUGGCCUGGCUGGCGGGUCCGCCUCACCGCGUGCACUUGUCCGGCCGGGCCUUCUCUUCUGGAGAACCGCAUGCCCUUCACUGGGCGUGUUGGGGACCAGGACUUUUACUUUGAAAAAAUUAGAGUGUUCAAAGCAGGCCUUUGCUCGAAUACGUUAGCAUGGAAUAAUAGAAUAGGACGUGCGGUCCUAUUUUGUUGGUUUCUAGGACCGCCGUAAUGAUUAAUAGGGACAGUCGGGGGCAUCAGUAUUCAAUUUGUCAGAGGUGAAAUUCUUGGAUUUAUUGAAGACUAACUACUGCGAAAGCAUUUGCCAAGGAUGUUUUCAUUAAUCAGUGAACGAAAGUUAGGGGAUCGGAGGACGAUCAGAUACGUCGUAGUCUACAUAAACUAUGCGACUAGGGAU
rnacentral:rRNA from 1 species